rnacentral:rRNA from 1 species
AUUGAACGCUGGCGGCAGGCCUAACACAUGCAAGUCGAGCGGCAGCGGGAAAGUAGCUUGCUACUUUUGCCGGCGAGCGGCGGACGGGUGAGUAAUGCCUGGGGAUCUGCCCAGUCGUGGGGGAUAACUACUGGAAACGGUAGCUAAUACCGCAUACGCCCUACGGGGGAAAGCAGGGGACCUUCGGGCCUUGCGCGAUUGGAUGAACCCAGGUGGGAUUAGCUAGUUGGUGAGGUAAUGGCUCACCAAGGCGACGAUCCCUAGCUGGUCUGAGAGGAUGAGCAGCCACACUGGAACUGAGACACGGUCCAGACUCCUACGGGAGGCAGCAGUGGGGAAUAUUGCACAAUGGGGGAAACCCUGAUGCAGCCAUGCCGCGUGUGUGAAGAAGGCCUUCGGGUUGUAAAGCACUUUCAGCGAGGAGGAAAGGUUGGUAGCUAAUAACUGCCAGCUGUGACGUUACUCGCAGAAGAAGCACCGGCUAACCCCGUGCCAGCCGCCGCAGUAAGAC